AGCUGGGGACCGAACCCAGGGCCUUGUGCUUGCUAGGCAAGUGCUCUACCACUGAGCCAAAUCCCAACCCCAAAUUCAUUGUUUAAUGUACCACCGAUAACGUUGACAGAGGUUGAGUGGAUUAACAAGUAUAGUAUAUGCAAAAGCAAAAAGAUAAAUCAUGAAGCAUUUGCAAAUGUACAUCCUGCUUGUGGCUUUAAGACAGACACAUCAUCAAGGCAGCAAAAGGCCAAACUGCCCUAAGACAGACACUGGAAAGUUCCAUCUACUCAGUGGCCUCUUCUGGCACAAUCUUACAUCACAACCUAUGCAGAGAAUUAGAUUUUUCAAAUCCUGAAGAAAGGGCAUUUUAAAUUGGCAUAGUCAGCUUCAGAAUUUUAAUGAGGCCAAUUGUCAAAGGUUUGCUUUGGUUUGAUAUUAAAACAGGGUCCUCUGUAGCCUCAGAGAGGAUGCAGACGAAGUAGCCAAGGUUGACCUCAGAUUUCCAGUCCUCUUGCCCUCCGCCCCCUCUGAAUGCUGGAACUGCAGGUGUAAAGUCCCAUGCUCACGUGGUGCUGGCCAGCAAACCCAGAUCUCCCUGCAUGCUAGAGAAACACUUCACCACAUCAUCUACAGACGCAGCCAAAUUUCCUUUCAAGGACAUGCCCAUCCUCUGAGAGUCCAACCCUAUGUUGAUUUUCCUCGUGACAGCGGGAUAUUUCAGCUCGGUGAUUACUCAGGUCACCCAGAGAGCUUAUUUGAUCCAAAGCUGCUGUAUCAGUCACCAGGCCUGAGUCAGAGCUUGGACAGGGCACAGCUGUAGCUCCCUGAACGGCAAAUACCUUGCCAUAGCGGUUGCUGGGGAAAUAUGUCGGAAACCUGUCUUCAGAGCUUGCUGGGAAUCUGCUGGGUGAGGUGCUGGGGAACGCUGUGGAUAGUGAGGAUAGAGGACAUUUCACUGGAGACACUUCACUGCGAAACCGCCUGAAGGGGAGCUGGCCAGGGCCACUGUGUGCAGUAUAGACAAGUGUGGCCGAAGCUGCCCAUGCAGAUAGAUUAGGGUCUCGGCAGCUGCACUGAACAAAGUGAGCCUUAGUAACCGCAGAUCCGAAUUAUUGAAUUCAUGCAUGCCUCCCGUCUUGACCACGGUAGCCACAUUUUGUGUGUACAGGAACAGUGAGACUUGCAUGGUCCUGGCUAGACAAAGAGACUGCUGAUCUCUAUGGUGACCAAGCUGGCCAGUACCUGCCUCCCUGCAGUGGGAGCCCUCCCAUGACUUUUCUGUGCAGUGUGGCUAUCGGUAUCCACUCGAGAGAAACCCAUCCACCCACACCCGCCUUCCCUAACGUCCCGGCCACAGACUGUCUUACUCCCUCCAUGCCUCUGACCCUUCAGGCCAAACAAUUUGUAACCGUGAGUGGAGUGGCUUUGAGCCGUCCUUCUGGCCACCUCUAACACUAGACAAACAUGCCUUCACUGUGCACUGCUGGGAGGGUUUCCCUUCACUGUCAUCCUCCAGGGGCCACAGAACUGCCCCCAUCCCCAGCGCUGCUGUCUACUCAUGAGCAGCUACAGCAACUGUAUGCACCGGCUUCUAAGACGGCUGUUUCUCUUUCUCAGACAGUGUAUUUAAACGCACUGGUCUCUAAAAUAACCAGGUAUUGUCUAAAAUGUCCUUCUGUGAGAAUCUUCUCUUCCCCAAACAACUCUAGACUUGUGGUUCCUGAAACUCCGGGCCAACAGCAAGUUCCACUGCCUUAACUUCUGAACACCGGUAAAAUACUUCCACAACUCCUGGGACGUUGUUUGGAAUUCAGAAUGACUCAUUUACACACUGACUCUCUACAAGAAAUGCAUUCAAGAACAUAUGAUGUCGCUCACGGUAAGAUUGUUGCUCCUUUUGGUUUUCCCUACAGAGUUCCUAACUUUUCCGGUCUCUCGGACGCUGUGUCUUUUUGUGUGCUAAUGAUAUGGCACGUGACUGGGGCUCCUGGAUACCCUUUAAAGGAAGCCUGGUUGUCGCAGGACCAACGAGAUAAAGGGUUGGAACAUUUCCACCCUCACACACGGAGAGCUGAGUGGGACUGCAGGUGGAGUUGGUCAUCAGUGGUCAAUGUAAGGAAAAAUGAAGGGUCCAUCCAAGAGCACAAAACCCUCAAAGGAUAGGGUUCAAAGGGUCACUCGCUGACUUGCUGAACGUGGGGAAGUGUAAGACACUGUAGCCCCAGGAAGCAAGAAGCUGCCCACUUGCCCUACCAUCUUUUUCAUGGUGCUGCUCCUGGAUUCUCGUACACGAGUAAUAAUAUAUUAUUAUAUUAUAUUACGGGUAUUAUAGAUCGGAUCUGGGAUGUCUUCCAGAGACUCGUAAGUUGCAGUCUUUCACCAGUUAGUGACACUGUUAGGGGCUGGGGUAACUUUCUCUGCAGAAAGUACUUCAGCAGGUCACUACAAACAUCUUCUGAAUAGUAGCACUCUGUACCUGCCUUGAUGACACACCUAGGUCACCCUUGUAGAGUUUUCCUGAAGCCACAAUAACCAUGGGUCUUCAGCACCUCCCGACUGGUCCUCUGAAACAGAUGAGCUAGCUGUCCCUGGCUAUGCUUAGAGCGGCCACAGCCCAGAAGUCCAGCACUUUCUGACAGCAGGGACCCGAUGCAGACAUUCCUGUGAGCGGUGGUGAGCUCGUCACUUACCACCUUUCUCCCGUGGCGAGUCAGCGUUCUUGGAAGCCACACGGAGUUUGUGAAUAAUGCUGUGUCAAGUGGUCCUGGAGGAAUUAGACUCAGAUGACCAGUUCUACUUCCCACAAUAAAGUACCCAGACCAGACAAGACCAGUUACAGUCUAAUACAGAGGAUGAGUACUGUAGAGCCUGUCUGUCUGUCUGUCUGUCUGUCUCCUAGGCUAUGCUAGCAUCAGCAGACAAUUACUGUCUAAUACAGAGGGAUGGGCACUAUAGAGCAUGUCUGUCUGUCUCCUAGGCUAGGCUAGCGUCAGCUGUUGGAUUAAAACUUAAGGCAAUAGGUCUGAGUGCAAAGCUCUCUGCUGAGUGCAAAGCUGAUAAGCACAACGAGGGGAUAAGGAAAGUGAAAAGAGAUUUAGUCCUCAGAGCAAGAAGAGUGGUGGAGGUCAUUUUCAAGGCAGGUCUCUCUUCAGACAAAGAAAGCAAUUGCAUCUUACCAGAGAAAUUAUGCACAUAACGCACAUUUAUAGAGAAAGACUUGCCAGCCUGUGUAGAGACAGGGAUAUAUUUUUGCACGUAGAGGAUUCAAGAGCAUCUUUCAUAUUUUGCAUGUGCAAAAAUAGUGGAUGAUGUACACACACACACACACACACACACACACACCCUUCACCUUCCAGCAACACAGAGGCAUGUUGCAAAUAUGGUAACAAUUUCAUUAUCUUUUUAUAGUAACAAGACAAACAAAUCAUAAAGUGAAGCAUUUUUUUUUUUAAAUCCAUCAGUUGGGGUCUGGAAAGAUGACUUAGUAGUCAUUUGGUACUACAUUUCUAGUGGAAAUCUUAUGCCCCCUGCUGGCCUCUAUAGGUACUGCACACAUGUGGUGUUCUUACAUACAGACAAAACAUCAGUCUACAUAAAAUAAUUUCUAAAAUGUAUUAUUAAAAGACAUCUGCAUUGCAGCAAACACAGCCAGACACCUAAAAUUCUCAGCCUGGAAGCCCCUCAUUUGAGCUAACUUACAACUGGUCACAUGAAUUUAUGGGUGUUGAGUCUUUAAGCUAUAGGAGAUAUGUCUUGGCUAGAAAUACAAUUUUGUAAUAAAGUUAAUGAAAAGGAAAUAGGUCACAAAAGAGUUGACUCACACAGAAUAGCUCGGAGCUUGGAUAAAUGCCACAGGAACACUCUGGACUUGAGUAAAUCAAAGGCCACAGGAACAGAGGAGAGACAGCAGAAGACAGAUUUUAAGUCUGUGACGUUUCUUUUGUGCCUAGGAUCAGAGCCAUCUGACGGCAGGAUUUGGAGGACACCUCUGAAAGGGCCCCAGGUACUGCGUCUCCAAAGAAGAGAGUAGAGACAUAGUUUCAGCAGAAACAGAAGGUUGAUACACUUUCAAGGCAGAGGAAGUGGACCAGAACCAAUGGAGACCUAGAGUCAUUCAGCCCUGCCGUGGGGAGAAUGAAUGGGGUCUUUCAUGUCUAAGGCACGGGCUUCGGGGCUCAUGCUCAUAGCACAAGAUGUUCCUUGCGUGCUUUCUACUGUCACGUGUAAUUCUAGAUACAGUUUCCAUGUGGUUACAUCUCAUUUGCACGAACAGAAGAAAACUGGCCCUGAUGUCCACGCUCAAAGUGCAAGCCAGAGUGAACAGAGGUCACUGGGGAAGAAUUGUCAUCAGCAGUGUCCCUCAGCUAUGGUCCCGGCAUACCACGCUACUGACCAAAAA
rnacentral:sRNA from 1 species